rnacentral:rRNA from 1 species
GACGAACGCUGGCGGCGUGCCUAACACAUGCAAGUCGAACGGGGGUAGCAAUACCUCAGUGGCGAACGGGUGCGUAACACGUGAAGAAUUUGUCUAACGGCGGGGGAUAGCCGGCCCAACGGCCGGGUAAUACCGCGUACGACCUCUGGAGGGCAUCCUCUGGUGGUGAAAGCCGCAAGGCGCCGAUAGAGAACUUCGCGGCCUAUCAGCUAGUUGGCGGGGUAAUGGCCCACCAAGGCGACGACGGGAGCUGGUCCGAGAGGAUGACCAGCCACAUUGGGACUGAGACACGGCCCAGACUCCUACGGGAGGCAGCAGUGGGGAAUAUUGCGCAAUGGGCGAAAGCCUGACGCAGCGACGCCGCGUGUGGAUGACGGCC